rnacentral:lncRNA from 1 species
UUUCCUCCUCUUUAAAACAUAAAUGGUAAUGAAUGAGAUAAAAUGGAAGGCCUCUAAUAUUCAAAGGUUAGGUGAUUCUGACUCUUAACAAGGAUGUGGUAGUACUGUUUAUUAGUAACAGAUUAUAAACUAUGGUAACCAUAGGUUGUAUAGGAAAUACAUCAUUUUACGGAAAUACAUUUGGCGCCCUGAGAAAUUAAAGCAAGUUUUGUCUGUAUGUAGAGUGUAAUAUUGUGAGCACAGUUAUUGGCUCACAGAGAUUCAGCUUGAAUUCCUGCAGUAAAUAUU